AAGAAGUCAAGAAAGGUUUGGUGUUUUAAUGAUUUUCUGUUUUCCUUUGAUUCUGCCAUGAAUAAGUGAAAUUAGAGGUUGAUUUUACUUGCUGAAAAUGUUGCUUUGAUUGUAUAAAUAUGUUAUAUGAAUGUUAAAAUGAUGUUUGAAAGGCUUAGAGUACAGAAAUUUAACAUGGGAGCUAAAAGUGUAAAUCUGGCAGAAUAGGUUGUAACAGGACAGCUUGUGUUACUAACUUCAUAACUUAUUGUGUAUAUAUUGAAAUUAGACCUAAGAUAUACCAAAUGAAAGCUAAGACAAAUAUCUAAAACUUUCAUGAAUUGACAAAAUUCUGAAUCUGUAGUUAAAAUGAUGAAAAUUGCAAGUGAACCUAAAAUGGACACAGUGGUAGUGCAUCCGGAACAGAGUCUAUUGAUUAUACCAUACCUAAUUACAUACUUAGUGAAAUUUGUUAAGACCAGUGCCAAAGAAACCGAAGUCAAAUUGUAACUCUAAACUGCUUGAAAAGUUUAUGCAAUAUAUGGCAGAAUGUAGUUUUCUAUAUUGAAAUGCUAAGUCAAUAAAGUUUUGCACUAUUUGCCAUGAGUUUUCCAUAUUGUAAACCUUGGCAUAUGAUAUAUGUACUUUGGAAAAAGAAAUCAAAUAGCUUCAAAUGACAUGGAUUUACAUUGAUACAUUGAGUUAAUGAUACUUGGCCCUGGUAAACGUAAUAGGAGUCGAGGUUAGCUUAAGGGUAUGGCAUGCCAUAUAAACAUACAGAGGUCGCAGUACUGCUACCGAUACAUGAUCUAUAUUAGAGGUUACAUAUCUGGUACCUCAGAAGCAUGGCCACAGAGCCCUUCUAUCACAGUUUUGGCCUCUGAGCCUACCGUUCGGCACCCUGUGCCUACCGUUAUAACUCCUUAUCUACCUAGUCGAUUCUACUAUGUGGUUAUAAGGGCUAAGAUCUUAAUUAAGAUUGAUACUUGAUUUUGUGAACUUAUUGGUGAAUGUUAACAUGUUUACAUCUACUAGCUUGUCAUUGUUUACUUGAUUAUCUAUUUAUGCGAGCUUGUUUGUUUUAUUCUGUUAUUUGUUGUUAUCACCCAC
rnacentral:lncRNA from 1 species